rnacentral:rRNA from 1 species
UACGUAGGGUGCAAGCGUUAAUCGGAAUUACUGGGCGUAAAGCGUGCGCAGGCGGUUGUGCAAGACAGAUGUGAAAUCCCCGGGCUCAACCUGGGAACCUGCAUUUGUGACUGCAUCGCUGGAGUGCGGCAGAGGGGGAUGGAAUUCCGCGUGUAGCAGUGAAAUGCGUAGAUAUGCGGAGGAACACCGAUGGCGAAGGCAAUCCCCUGGGCCUGCACUGACGCUCAUGCACGAAAGCGUGGGGAGCAAACAGG